rnacentral:rRNA from 1 species
AUGGCGGCGGCGGAGAUACUGGCCGUGGAGAGCGGCACCGGGCGGCAGGAGUACGUGCAGGACGGGUCGGUGGAUCUCCGGGGCAACCCCGUGCUCCGGUCCAAGAGGGGCGGCUGGACCGCCUGCUCAUUCAUCGUAGUGUACGAGCUGUUCGAGCGGAUGGCCUACUACGGGAUCGCGUCCAACCUCUUCGUCUACCUCACGGAGAAGAUGCACCAGGGCACGGUGGAGGCGUCCAACAACGUCACCAACUGGUCCGGCGUCGUCUUCAUCACGCCUCUGAUCGGAGCCCACCUCGCCGACGCCUACCUCGGCCGCUACUGGACCUUCGUCAUCGGCUCCGCCAUCUAUUUCAUGGGGAUGAUGCUACUAACGCUGGCCGUGACGGUGGGAGCGCUCAAACCUCCGCCAUGCGUCGACAAACUCUGCCCAUCGCCGUCAGCCCUGCAGGUGGGCGUCUACUUCGGCGGGCUGUACAUCGUCGCCUUGGGCAACGGCGGCACAAAGCCUAAUAUCUCAACCAUGGGCGCGGACCAGUUCGACGACUUCGAUGCCCGGGAGAAGACCCACAAGCUCUCCUUCUUCAACUGGUGGAUGUUCACCAUUUUCACGGGCAUCCUCUUCUCCUCAACAGUCCUCGUCUACCUCCAGGACAACGUGAGCUGGUCUGUCGGCUAUGGCAUCCCCACUCUUGGCCUCGUCGUCUCCAUCGUCAUCUUCCUCGUCGGCACGCCUAUGUACCGCCACAAGGUGCCUCAGGGCAGCGCAAUCACGCGCAUUGGCAAGGUGCUCGCCUCCGCGCUGUGCAAACAACGCCUACCCUUGCCGGCGAACGCCGAUGAGCUGCAUGAGCUGGAGCAAGAGGCGUACACGAGGAAGCACAAGUUCCGGAUGGAAUCCACGAACGACAUGUGGUUCCUCAACAAGGCAUCCGUGAAGGACGUCGGUGGCGAGUCCUCGACCUCAAAAUGGAGCCUCUGCACGGUGACGGAGGUGGAGGAGACAAAGCAGAUCUUGAAGCUGGUCCCUUUUGUCGUGACCAUGUUCAUACCUUGCACGCUCAUCGCCCAGACCAACACCCUGUUCGUGAAGCAGGGCACGACCAUGAAUCGGCACAUGGGGCCACACUUCGAGAUCCCGCCGGCCAGCCUCGGCGCGUUCGUCACGCUCUCCAUGCUCAUCACCAGCGUGGUCUACGACCGGCUGUUCGUCAAGGCCGCGCGAAGGUACACCAAUAACCCAAGGGGCAUCACCCUCCUCACGAGGAUGGGCAUCGGGCAGGUGAUCCAAGUCGUGACGAUGGCGACGGCGGCGCUCACCGAGAACCGGCGCCUGAGCUACGCGCGGAGCCAUGGGCUGGACGUGACCGGUGGCCACCUCCCCCUCACCAUCUUCGUCCUCCUGCCACAGUACGUGCUGAUGGGCCUGGCGGACGGGUUCGUGCUCGCGGGCGAGAUCGAGUUCUUCUACGACCAGGCGCCCGAGAGCAUGAAGAGCCUCGGCACGGCGCUGUCGCUCACCGCGUACGGCGUGGGCAACGUCCUUAGCAGCUUCUUCUUGUCACUGGUGGCGCGGGUGACGCGCGAGAGGACGGGCAAAGCCUGGGUGUCCAACAACCUCAACGCCUCGCACCUCGACUAUUACUACGCGUUCCUCACGUUGCUCGCGGUCGCCAACUGUGUCGCCUUCGCUGCGCUCGCCAGCAGGUACAAGUACAAGGUGGAGUCUACUAAGACCAUCGACAUCGACGUGGACGUGCAGCUCAAGCGAUAG